rnacentral:rRNA from 1 species
GACGUAGGGUGCGAGCGUUGUCCGGAAUUAUUGGGCGUAAAGAGCUUGUAGGCGGUUUGUCGCGUCUGCUGUGAAAAUCCGGGGCUCAACUCCGGACUUGCAGUGGGUACGGGCAGGCUAGAGUGUGGUAGGGGAGACUGGAAUUCCUGGUGUAGCGGUGGAAUGCGCAGAUAUCAGGAGGAACACCGAUGGCGAAGGCAGGUCUCUGGGCCACUACUGACGCUGAGAAGCGAAAGCAUGGGGAGCGAACAGG